rnacentral:rRNA from 1 species
GACGAACGCUGGCGGCGUGCUUAACACAUGCAAGUCGAACGGAAAGGCCCUGCUUUUGUGGGGUGCUCGAGUGGCGAACGGGUGAGUAACACGUGAGUAACCUGCCCUUGACUUUGGGAUAACUUCAGGAAACUGGGGCUAAUACCGGAUAGGAGCUCCUGCUGCAUGGAGGGGGUUGGAAAGUUUCGGCGGUUGGGGAUGGACUCGCGGCUUAUCAGCUUGUUGGUGGGGUAGUGGCUUACCAAGGAUUUGACGGGUAGCCGGCCUGAGAGGGUGACCGGCCACAUUGGGACUGAGAUACGGCCCAGACUCCUACGGGAGGCAGCAGUGGGAAAUAUUGCACAAUGGGCGGAAGCCUGAUGCAGCAACGCCGCGUGCGGGAUGACGGCCUUCGGGUUGUAAACCGCUUUCGCCUGUGACGAAGCGUGAGUGACGGUAAUGAGUAAAGAAGCACCGGCUAACUACGUG